AUUGAACGCUGGCGGAAUGCUUUACACAUGCAAGUCGAACGGUAGAGGGGGCAACCCCUUGAGAGUGGCGAACGGGUGAGUAAUAUAUCGGAACGUGCCCAGUCGUGGGGGAUAACGUAGCGAAAGUUACGCUAAUACCGCAUACGAUCUAAGGAUGAAAGCGGGGGAUCGCAAGACCUCGCGCGACUGGAGCGGCCGAUAUCAGAUUAGGUAGUUGGUAGGGUAAGGGCCUACCAAGCCAACGAUCUGUAGCUGGUCUGAGAGGACGACCAGCCACACUGGAACUGAGACACGGUCCAGACUCCUACGGGAGGCAGCAGUGGGGAAUUUUGGACAAUGGGCGAAAGCCUGAUCCAGCCAUUCCGCGUGCAGGAUGAAGGCCCUCGGGUUGUAAACUGCUUUUGUACAGAACGAAAAGGUUUCUAUUAAUACUAGGAGCUCAUGACGGUACUGUAAGAAUAAGCACCGGCUAACUACGUG
rnacentral:rRNA from 1 species